GAUGAACGCUGGCGGCGUGCCUAAUACAUGCAAGUCGAGCGAACAGACGAGGAGCUUGCUCCUCUGACGUUAGCGGCGGACGGGUGAGUCACACGUGGAUAACCUCCCUAUAAGACUGGGAUAACUUCGGGAAACCGGAGCUAAUACCGGCUAAUAUAUUGAACCGCAUGGUUCAAUAGUGAAAGACGGUUUUGCUGUCACUUAUAGAUGGGUCCGCGCCGCAGUAGCUAGUUGGUGAGGUCACGGCUUACCAAGGCAACGAUACGUAGGCGGACUGAGAGGUGGACCCCCCACAAUGGUACUGAGACACGGACCAGACUCAUACGGGGGGCAGCAGUGAGGAAUAGUGGUCAAUGGACGCAAGUCUGAACUAGCCAUGCCGCGUGCAGGAUGACGGCUCUAUGAGUGGUAAACUGCUUUUGGACGAGGGUAGACGCAGAUACGGGUAUCUGUCUGAAAGUAGCGGACGAAUAAGGAGCGGCUAACUCCGUG
rnacentral:rRNA from 1 species